AGUUCAGACUCGUAGCAGAUAGCUCAGUAACACGUGGCAAGCACCCUAUGGAUCCAGACAACCUCGGGAAACUGAGGCUAAUCUGGAAUAGGGCUCUCAUCCUGGAGUGGAGAGAGCCUGAAAUGCUCCGGCGCCAUAGGAUGUGGCUGCGGCCGAUUAGGUAGACGGUGGGGUAACGGCCCACCGUGCCAGUAAUCGGUACGGGUUGUGAGAGCAAGAGCCCGGAGACGGUAUCUGAGACAAGAUACCGGGCCCUACGGGGCGCAGCAGGCGCGAAACCUUUACACUGCACGCCAGUGCGAUAAGGGGACUCCAAGUGCGAGGGCAUAUAGUCCUCGCUUUUUGCGACCGUAAGGUGGUCGCGGAAUAAGUGCUGGGCAAGACCGGUGCCAGCCGCCGCGGUAAUACCGGCAGCACGAGUGAUGACCGCUGUUAUUGGGCCUAAAGCGUCCGUAGCUGGCCGCGCAAGUCUAUCGGGAAAUCUCUCCGCUUAACGGAGAGGCGUCCGGUGGAAACUGUGUGGCUU
rnacentral:rRNA from 1 species